rnacentral:lncRNA from 1 species
AUUCAAUGAUUCAAAAAGGAGAUAUUGGCACUAGAAGUUCAAUAUUUAGAUUGGAGUAGGAGAACAACCAAUACCUAAGCGGAAUUAAGGAUUGAUCUUCUAUUUGAUAAGUUUGAUCUUCUUCAAAUUUUAUGUGCUUAUUGCCAAUUUAUUUUUUGAAAGGUGUAUAAAAUCUUAAGUAAGAUCAAUGGUAUAAUUGAUAGAUAUUGAGGUUCUAAACUGCCCUAAGAUUAGAUUAAUUUGAUUAGGAUUUGGUUUAAGAUUUAGAAAUUGGUUAGGAUUUAGGGUUUUUUUAGGAUUUAUUUAGGAUUUAACUUAGGAUUAAAAUAAGGACUGUUAGGAUUUUAACUAGAACUAAAUUAAUAUUUGGUUGGAAUUUAUUUAAUAUAUAUUUUAGAUUUUAUUCUAAUACUUCUUUUGAAUUUUUUUAGGAUUUCUUCAUACUUUUUUUGUAAUUUUUUUGAGGUUUCUUUGGAUUUGAUUAAAGCUUGAUUAGCAUUACUAAAGUUUAAUUGGAGUUAUUUAGGAUUCUGUUAGAAUUAAAAGCUUAUUGUAAUAUUCUUUUUACCUUCUAUAGCUAGGUGCUUGAUGUAUUUUC